AUCGAGGUGUUGUGCGGGUUGUAGUUCAGGAAGACGAAGCCCCGGCACUGGUCGAUGAUGUGGAAGAGCGGGUUCCACGAGAACAGGACCAGCAUCGAGACCGGCAGCGAAUUGGCGACGAACAUCUUGCCGCUGAAGAUCAUGUUGGCCCGCCC
rnacentral:ncRNA from 1 species